rnacentral:rRNA from 1 species
UACGUAGGGGCCUAGCGUUGUCCGGAUUCAUUGGGCGUAAAGCGCACGUAGGCGGUUCGUUAUGUCGGAUGUGAAAGCCCUUGGCUUAACCGAGGAAGUGCAUCCGAAACUGGCGAGCUAGAGUACUAAAGAGGAUCGCGGAAUUCCCGGUGUAGAGGUGAAAUUCGUAGAUAUCGGGAGGAACACCGGUGGCGAAGGCGGCGAUCUGGGUAGAUACUGACGCUGAGGUGCGAAAGCGUGGGGAGCAAACAGG